GCUUCUUCUUUUUUUUUGUCGGUGUCGGCCACCUACACGGCCCAAACCUGUAACAAGCUCAUUCAUGCAGCCUGUUUUUUUUUUUUUUUUACUCCUUCUUUUUGGCUAAAUAUCCAAAACUUAUACGUGUUGGAAUUUUACAAAAACCAUUUGCCCCGGUGCUGCGUGCCACAGUUCUGACUCCCUCUACAGGACCCCGUCAUGGACGGCCCACCAACUGGCGGCCCUGUGUGCCGAGGCCAGUGAGUGGUUUGAGGUGCUGCGGUGGACCAGGCUCGUAGAAACACUGGGCCGGGCCGGCCUGGAGUGUUUGACUUUUUAUUCCAAACAAUAGUCAGCUGGUUGUUUUCGUUGUUUGAUUUCAUUUUACAGUCAUAAUCUCCUGAAGCAACUGAAGGUCACGCUCACUUUAAAGAGAAAACUACCUACACGCUCGGUCCUACAGUUCAUUGUUUCACGUGCCCGGACAAAAAUAACUUGUUCCCGAUCAUGUACAGUAUGUAGACAUGGAUAAAUUAUAUGAAUUAGUCUCAGAAAAUAUCUUCAGAUUGAAAAUGUAUUAUUUGCAAAGGCAGUUCUGUCGUGUAAGCACCGGUUAGAAACAGUACCCAGAGGCCCGAGGAUCGACGGUAAUUCGGAGUUCAAACACGAAAUCUGUUUGUCAAAAACUGAUUUAUUUAAAAAAAAGAAAUCUCAACAGCUGCAGGUGUUGUGUACAGAUCCCGGCUCAUCAGCAUCAGUGUGUGUUUGUGCUGGAGGUCGAUCAAUGCGCUGGUAAUUAUUCGCUGUUCCUUCUCUCUGCCCGUGCUGUAAUAAAUCCCGCCGAGCCGCUGAAGGCUGAAUUUUGAUGUGAUAAUUGAUGCCGUGUUUUAUUUUUGUUGUGAAAUGGCUUGUCUGAAAUGUACACGGCGUGCGUGUGUUUGUCUGUGUGUGUCCACCUGUCAUGUUUGAUUAGUAUCUCUGUUCCUCAGUUGGAAGUCAGCGAGGGCAAGUCUGAAUGGUAGCUCUUACCGGCACAGUGGUGCGUGUGUGUGUGUGUGUAUACACUUGUGUGUGCGCCCAGAUUUCUCCUACCGCUUUUGGAACAUUUUCUGGGUUAGCGCUGUCUUUUUUAGGUCCAGUAGAGGUCCAGUCCUCAAGAGGGGGCAGAGCCUGGACAACUUCACUUCAAUUCUGAGACUCUGGUCAAGCCUGGAUCCAGGCACAAGGGUCGUUGGAGGACCUGGACUGGGGUCCCUGGAGAAAACCCCUUACCCACAGUGAGGAAGAACCUGCAAACUCUAUCAGAAAGACCAUUUCUUACCACCAGGGGCAUGCUGUAAGGCAAGUGUACUCACCACCCUGACUCUAUGGCUCUUUGUUUUUUACCUACUCUUUCUUAAACCUUCAUUUAUUCUUACAUGAAGUCACAUGACCGCGUUCAAUAUAGAAAUGGUCAAAGGCUAAGGCUGUGGUUUGUCUGGAUAAUACGAGCGUCUGUAUGGUUUGUGUUGCACACUUGUGUAUCAUCAGAUGUGGAUGCGAGUGCUCACGGCCGUGUCGAUUUGUGUUCCUGCACACUUGGACCCGACCGAGGAGCCGCAUGUUUCCUGGCCCCAGUCAUUUCGAUGGCCGUAGGAGAGGCUACAGUUACGACCACAGGCUCUGACAGAGCAAUCACUGCAGCACUGUGACACUUAAAUACCCUGGUGCGUGCAUGCAUGGAUGUGUGUGUUUUUAUCCCUCCUCACCUCCCUCCCCCCUUCCUCACUUUAUCCUCACCCGUCAUUACCCUCUUGACUGUAAGAGCCUUGACAUCACUGUAGCUCUCUUACUCUUCACCACCAACUUUUUUUUUGGUUAUGAUUACACUACUAUACCGGCUGUGUGAGAUAUCUGUGUGCAUGGAUGGAUGGAUGGAUGGAUGGAUGGAUAGAUAGAUGCACUUUUUUCAUAUAUUAAGUAUAAAUACUUUAUGGGAGUAAUCAAUACUCCAUCAAUACUAUAUCAAUUUCACAUUGAUGAUGAUGAUGAUCCAGGUUCUAGGUAAGAGUCCUCUAACUGUUGCAAUUACCCUCCUUGAAGUUACUUUAAUUAAAAAGUAAUCGAUGCUGUAACAAACUCAGGUCAUGAUCACAUCGUACAGCUCAGAGGCAUGUUGUGUGUUGGCGUAUAUGAUUACUCAACACUCCUACAGCUUAUUAGUGGGUGCACUGUACGAGGCAUGUCAUUAAUGAUGCGUGUUUUCUUUAGAUCACCGCCGGCUGAGGUGAGAACAUAGAAGUGGCUGCUGUCACGAUGUUAGAAUUUCAAACUUAUUUGAAAAGGCAUUUUAGCAAAUGGUUAGCACCACUUAUUUUUCAUUGCGGAGUCAAUGUCAUAACGUUUCAUUUUGUCUUGUUUUGAAUCUAUGAACCACUGCAUACAGUUUUAGGGAGAACAUUAAAAAUGUGAACCGACCACAUCCACACAUCCUCCACCAGGGGCACUAAUCCACCUUUUGAGCUACUGCUGUUUGAUUCACUGUGCUAAAUAGUGUGUUUACAGUAAUCCAGAUAUUUUUUUUAUUUCCUGUGUGUUGUAAAAUACUGCCGGACGAAAAAAACCCAAAGAGUAAAAGGGGGAGAAAGGACUGUUGAAUGAUGGGACAUUAAAAACACACACAUAUUGAAAAAUCCCUGCUUCCCUGUGUUGUUUUGCCAGAAAAGAGACUAACCGCUGUGAUUUUCCUGAAUGCUGCCAUGAUUUAUAAAAUGUGAUUCAUAAAUUUCACAUUUACACACACCGCUGUCCUUUUAGUGUCACGGCAAACCCACCCUGGUUCAGAUCGAGUCCAAAACCCCACAUCUGCGGACACGGUUCUCCUUCACCUCUUCUCCAACAGCCUGUAAAUUCCUAAUAAACCAUUCUUUCUCUGCUUUUUAUCUUAUUGUCCUAACAUCUACUGUAUUUCUUCCUAAUGUUCCUCCUCCUCCUCUUCCAUUUCCGACUCUUUGGACUUUGUUUGACUCCCGUUGUUUUAUCGUUUUGUUUUUUUUUAAUUCAUGUGUGUGGUAUUUUUUCUCCAUAAGGUUUUCUUGAACCCCCGUCGUCAAAUUUUGUCCCCUUCGUUCUUGACCUUAUUUCCUCCCCUACAGAAAAGGAUUUUUUAUCCCCUCAGGUUCCCCUGGAAAACCUCAUCUAUACCCUCUGAAUGUCAUCAUCACAUCCAAGCUACUGUCACACUGUGAGAUGAUCCUGAUGAGUUCCUGGAUAUACCUUUGUCAAACAAAGGUAUAUCCCCAAAUAAAUUCCCGAGGAUCUUCUAAAGUCCAAUCAUGAGAUCAUCUUCCUCUACUCUUGGCUUCCUCGACUUUUACACCGUGUAUCCUCAGGUCCUCCUCUACCAAGCUGAAAACCUUCUCAGCUACGACAGACAACAGAACAACGACAUCAUUGGUUGCAUGAUACGCUGCGCCCGUGCCCCAAGGGACAUCAGGACGACGGUCGGUUGAGGAAACAACGAAAAAGGACAAUGGAAGAGGAAGAAGAACAGUAACCAGUGGACAAUGAGAGACCUUUGGGAAGCGAGAGGAGCUGAAGGAUCCUCACCAACCUAACCGUGACUUCACAAGCUACAGCUAGAUUAACUGCCAGGGAAAGUCAACGCCCCACUUCCAGGAUUCUCACCAUUUCGCUGACUACAACUGUCAAACCAGGACACUUCAUUUGACAGAACUGGAGCAAAUACAGCCGCGCUGUGCUCUACUGAAACAACUUGUGGUGUGAGCGGUUUUCAGGGAGGAGGAAGAGGUGAUGAGGCGGAGGGUGUACCAGGACAGAACUGGCACUAAGAGAUGGAGUGGGUGGGUGUGUGUGUGUGUGGGGAUGAGUUGGGCCGGAAACUCUGAUCCAGUGCAGACUGUUUUCGACGUCACGGUGCGGUAGUUUCUAAAAUACUCAAGCCACAGUUCCUAAAAUUGCUCUAACUGCAGUUCUGCUGAGAGCUGUCAAUCUACGUCCAGGUUUCUUCUACACUUCUCAGAGACUUUCACUGUGACAAAUGCAGGGAUAGGAACAGGCUCCACUUUUGGGUUGAUGAGUUUAGCCAGAGCCGCUCUGACAGCUCAUGGAUG